rnacentral:rRNA from 1 species
GACGAACGCUGGCGGCGUGCCUAAUACAUGCAAGUCGAACGGAAAGGCCCUGCUCUUGUGGGGUGCUCGAGUGGCGAACGGGUGUGUAACACGCGAGUAACCUGUCCCUGACUUUGGGAUAAAUCCAGGAAACUGGGGCUAAUAUCGGAUAGGAGAUCUUGCUGCACGGUGGGGGUUGGAAAGAGUCGGCGGUUGGGGAUGGUCUCGCGGCUUAUCAGCGUGUUGGUGGGGUAGUGGCUUACCAAGGCUUUGACGGGUAGCCGGCCUGGGAGGGUGACCGGCCACAUUGGGACUGAGGUACGGCCCAGACUCCUACGGGAGGCAGCAGUGGGAAAUAUUGCACAAUGGGCGGCAGCCUGAUGCAGCAACGCCGCGUGCGGGAUGACGGCCUUCGGGUUGUAAACCGCUUUCGCCUGUGACGAAGCGUGAGUGACGGUAAUGGGUAAAGAAGCACCGGCUAACUACGUG